rnacentral:rRNA from 1 species
UACGGAGGGGGCUAGCGUUGUUCGGAAUUACUAGGCGUAAAGCGCGCGUAGGCGGAUCUGCAAGUCGGGGGUGAAAUCCCGAGGCUCAACCUCGGAACUGCCUUCGAUACUGCGGGUCUCGAGUCCGGGAGAGGUGAGUGGAAUUCCUAGUGUAGAGGUGAAAUUCGUAGAUAUUAGGAAGAACACCAGUGGCGAAGGCGGCUCACUGGCCCGGUACUGACGCUGAGGUGCGAAAGCGUGGGGAGCGAACAGG